CUCUCCAAGCUGCUCCGAGGGGAAUGGGGAAUCGGCAGGAAAUGACCCGAACUGCCAGCCUGCGCCUUUGCAGCCGGCCCUCGCUUUGCUGAAGACGAGCAGCUCCCACCAAAGUCUUGCCUCCCCUUACCCCGAAAGCCCCGCUCAGUUCAAUAUUUCAAGUGAAAAUCUGCCUGUUCGAAAAGAAAAUAUUCACAAAUGAGCAGUGUAUUAGAAGACAACUGAAUUGCUUCUAAGAAUGGGUCUCACUCUGCCAUCACCCAGGCUGGAGUGUGGUGGCACCAUCAUGGCUCACUGCAGCCUUGAACUCCUGAGCUCAAGUCAUCCUCCCACCUCAGCCUUCCGAGUAGCUGGAACUGCAGCCAACAUGUCCAUUUCCACCCUCCACCCUCAUUCUCACAUUAAGCUAUGGAGAGGGGGAAUAUUUGUACUUUUUUCAUGGUCUUCCAAAGGAUGGACAUACUACUGCCACGAGAGAAAUUGCUGGUCAGAGAGAAGCAAUUCCUUAGAGAAAGCAACCCACAUAUCAUCACCCAAGAGAGCUGAACCAUUGCCAACAUCUCCAUCAGGAACUUGGAAGAGUUUUCUGUCUUCCCAACACAAUAAAACUGGAGACACGAGCAUGCAGAGCUCCAGCCAGCACAAUUACAUAAAGCCAAAGCACAUUAUCACUUGCAGGCUGCAGGAUUUAUGGCCAACUAUGAUGGAAAAUACAGAGAUACUUUACUUGUCUGAAUUCAACACUCAAAAAAGAUAGUAUGUAUUAUAUUAAUGAUAGAGAAAAGUUGUAUAUAUUGUACUUUUUCUAAUGAAAACCUUAGUAAACAGAGCAGAAACAGAUGCCAGCAUCUUAGAGAAGAAAGAAAAAUGGAAAAGAUUGCCAGUUUGCUCCUCUUCAGACAAUAUGCAAUUGCUGUUCUUGUUGAAAAAUUCCUUUCAAAUGCAUUGAGGCAGCAUUUCUAUUUUGGUGGUUUUCUGCAUUUGAGUUGCUGCUUCUAACUUGAGUGGAACAGAGAAGUUUGUAUUCUCUAUGGGUGUCUGCUGUUCCAAGUAUGAAGCAGUGAAGCUAAAAUCACUUUACUUCUAGAAACCUGUGAUUUCCAUUUGCCAUGAGGUUAGCACUUCCUCUGGCAGUGCCUUUGCCACGAACUGUCAUAGAACCAUGCUGUUUAUCUAGCAUAGCAUUCUUCUUUAUCAUAGCUGCUUACCACUUGUUUCUGCUCUGGAAUGCACCCUGUACGUGCAGGUUAUGUGGUGUCCUGGCCCAGUGCUGGCACACGGUGAGCACUCACAAAAAUAUUGAAGAGCUCUCUUCAGGUUGUAAUUUUAUGUUACCAAUGUUUUUACACAGUUGGUUUGCAUUAUGAGUACACAGUGAGAAGGUAAACCAGUGUGCUGUUUGUCUAUCGUUUCCAAAUUUUGAAUUAUUUAAAUACAUGUUAGUGAAAUCACUGUUUAUCAGAACCAAAAUUGCAAUCUUAAAACUUCUGCAAGAUAGAAAAGAUUGUUUAACAAAGGAAGGAAAAUAUUACAAAAACAGAUUUCUCUCUUAAUUUUGUCAGUGCUUGGACUUGGUCCCCAAAUCUUAAAAGUGAAUUUGUUUCCAGAACACCUGAAACAGAGACCACAUUUUUAUGUUUGCCUUUUUGCAGUGAAGUUUACAUUAGGGAGCUAUAUUUUCCUUAUAUUUAUUUUUAAAUCAUUUGGGCUUUCCAAUAAAAUAGCAUUCUCAUUUUCUUCCCUCUUCCCAGAUUAAUGCAUUUAUUAUUUUAAUGCAUGAAGGGGUCCACGUGGCGCUAUGGUUGGUGGCUGGGAUGCUCUGGAGUGGUGCGCUUGGAAAACAAUGUGUUAUUUGCACUUGAGAAAAUACUUUGUUGGCUAAGUGUCUAGGCACUGAAACAGUAACAGUUCAUCAAAAGACAGUUAUCCCAGAUACGCUUCCAAGAGUGGCAAUCAGUUUUCCUAAAGAGUCAAAGAAAAGAGUGAGAAUUGUGGGAAGUGGGAGACUAGAAGGACAGACUCAUUUGGAAACAGGAAGUGGUUCAAGGAACUUAGGAUUUGGAAUAUAGGAAAAGAAAUGGGGAAACAUACCCAUGCCUUCUCUUCUCUGUAGACAUCCAAUUUGAACCUACUCCAGAUUAGUAGGAAGUAAAAUCAUUAUCUGAUGUUCUGUGGCCACAUGGAAAAUACAUUGGUAGUUGCAACCAGACUAGAGUCAACAUUGAGAAACCAAUAGAACCACUAACUUGGGCUGGUGAGGCACAGCUACUGGUCAAAACCUGCCCAGGAGGCCCAGUACCACUCACAGUCAGGAUCGGGGUCAUGGUAGGGGAAGGUCAGCUAGCUUACUGCAGCCCAUCUCUGAUGGGGAGGUGAGGACUUCCAGCCCUGGGCUGCUCAUUCACCUCCCCUCUGGAGCAGUAAACAGGGAAGUAGCAAGAAGCUAAGCUCCUUUUGUUAGGCAUUGUUAAUUCCUCCAAGGUGACCAUUGAUGUAUUUUUUAUUCAGUAACUUAGCAUAUAUGUGUGUGCACAAUUAAUAGUUAUAUAUAAUAAAAGUGAAUAUAUUAAAAUUUAAAAAAAUAAAUUAUGAUCAUUGCACAAUUCUGUGACUAUACUACAAACCAUUAAAAUGUAUACUUUAAAUGGGUGUUUUUUAUGUUAUUUAUGUGAUUAUGUCUCAAUAAAGAUGUUUUAAAACCAUAAA
rnacentral:lncRNA from 1 species